AUGCCCCUCAUCAUAGCAGCUCCUCCCUCCAGUCCCAGUCCCCGCCACCUGCACAGCCUCUUCUUCUCCUGCAGCCCCCGGAGGCACCAUCCCCUCCUGGGGUCCUGGGGUGGCCUCUGCCCACUAUGCCUGGGGUGUGUCCUUUGCCCUCCAUCCCUGUCCCCCAGGCCUCCCCACCCGCCUAUGGCCCCCAAAGCGCUCCCCCUGCCCCUUCUCUCCAGCGCAAUCCUUGGCAAAGGCCCUGGGAGCACUCACGGCAGAGCUCAGGGUGCCUCCAGUUCUGCGGCUGGCCCCCCGCGUGGGCGCACUGGCGUGAGUAUUCCACAAAGGUGGCGCACGGGCAGGUGGGGCAGCGGCACAGGUCCUGGGCGCAGGCAGCCAGGUACGGGGCGCUGUCCACCAGUGCGUGGCACUCCGCAAAGGCCGGCCCCAGCAGGGUGUGGUGGCAAAUGCCUUCCUGGGGAGCACAGUGGGCCAGGUUGGGCACCCCUGCCCUCCAUGGGGGCUGCCACAGUGCUGGAACAGGACCCAUGGCAGGCCAGGCUGGGAAGCCCUCUCCCCAUCGAGGUUUCUUGUACCCAGCCCCAUCCCUUCCACCCACUGUGGCCGUGUAGCUGCCGGUGCAGAGCUCUGCUUGGCCCUUGGGGAGUGACCCAUGACUCUGAAUCCCCCACCCGGGAUGUGCCUGCCCACGAAGUGAGCACCCAAGAAAGGUGCAGACCCCACCCCAGGAGGCGGAACCAAGGAGGGCAGGUGCAGACCCCGCCCCAGGAGGCGGAGCCAAGGAGGGGAGGUGCAGACCCCGCCCCAGAGGCGGAGCCAAGGAGGGGAGGUGGAGGCCCCACCUCUCUGAAGAAAGGUGCAGACCCCGCCCCAGGAGGCAGAGCCAAGGAGGGCAGGUGGAGGCCCUGCCCCAGGAGGCGGAGCCAAGGAGGGGAGGCGCAGGCCCUGCCUCUCCAGGUAGCCUGGCAAGUUCAGGGCAGUCCAGUGCUGAGUGUCCUCCCUUCCCAGGCCCCGGGCUGCGGGCUGUGGGGCCCAGCUCCCGGGGGGCUGCUGCUGUCAUUCAAUGCCCAAUUUAAGGCUCAGAGAUUCUGCUGA
rnacentral:lncRNA from 1 species